AUGGUGGUAGCCGGUUUUUUUGCAGAGGUGUUGAGGGAGUUGGGUUCGAAGAAGAGGGUGAGGCUGAGCCGGAUUAUUCAGAGGCGGAAGGAGAGGGAGGAGCGAAAGACAAGGGAGGGUGGUGCCGACGAAGUGGGUAAUAGUUCGCCGGAAAUGCUGCUGCUGGACUUGGCUUCUUUCAGUUCUGUAAUCUAAACAGUUUGAGAACUUUGUUCGUGCUGGGCUUUUCUCUGUUUUUUGGCUUAUCGAUACCAGAAUAUUUCAAGGAGUUUCAUGCAGUGUCUGGAUAUGGUCCCGUCCAUACUCGAGCAAGAGCAUCCAAUGAUAUAAUAGAUGUGAUAUUUUCUUCGCCAGCAACAGUUGCUGCUAUGGUAGCUUAUUUCCUGGACAACACGAUCUUGCGUACUAACGCCGAAACCAGAAAAGAUCGAGGUUGGCAAUGGUGGGACAAAUUCAGAUCUUUCAAAACAGACACAAGAAGUGAAGAGGUUUAUACCCUUCCUUUCAACCUGAACAAGUUUUUCCCUUCAGUCUAGUUUGGCAAUGGCUGCAAUGCUAAAUCUGAAUCUGCAAGCAAUGAAAACAAACAUUUUUCAAAGUCCUGAAGAAUUGUUAUGGAGAAACUUCCAUUCCAUCUCACACAUUUGCAUUUGCUUUCUGGGUUUUAGGUUUUAUGGUAAAUAUUCCUUUUGCUGGUCUUUCUUUGUAUUUGCUAGCUGAGGUUUAUCUCCUCAGUAGAAAUACAAGCUUUGAUGAUCUACACUUGUUUCUAUAUUAUUUUUAAAGGGAAAGUUUCUAUAGUAUUUUGAAA